GAUGGCCUUUGCUAGUUUUCUAGCGAAUGGUUCAUUCUUUUUUACUGUGAACUGUUUUAAUUUUUCAGCGUCUGAGGAAUGUCUUUUAGCCAUAGGGAUAGGCUACUAGAAUGUUAACCGAGCUGAAAGUCAGGCUUAGGCCUGGUAUCCUAUUAAUUAUUUACCAAAAGAAUUCAGUAUUAUAAUUGUAACAUAAGCGUAAAAAACUUAUAAAACAACUUUUAACAACGGAUCUCUUGGUUCUCGCAUCGAUGAAGAACGUAGCAAAGUGCGAUAACUAGUGUGAAUUGCAUAUUCAGUGAAUCAUCGAGUCUUUGAACGCAACUUGCGCUCAAUGGUAUUCCAUUGAGCACGCCUGUUUCAGUAUCAAAAACACCCCACAUUCAUAAUUUUGUUGUGAAUGGAAAUGAGAGUUUCGGCUUUAUUGCUGAAUUCUUUAAAAUUAUUAGGCCUGAACUAUUGUUCUUUCUGCCUGAACAUUUUUUUAAUAUAAAGGAAUGCUCUAGUAAAAAGACUAUCUCUGGGGCCUCCCAAAUAAAUCAUUCUUAAAUUUGAUCUGAAAUCAGGCGGGAUUACCCGCUGAACUUAAGCAUAUC
rnacentral:rRNA from 1 species